CUGACAUUGCAUUGAAAUGCUUCUCAGCUCUGCUUUAUCCUUUUCUGUAAGGCUCACUUUCAUCUCUCACCCUAAAAUUCCUCUUCCUUCCUAACAUGACACCAAGCAGCUAAAUGUUACCUCCUCCAUGACACCAAACACUUUCAGACAGGAUCUUACCCUCCCCUUAAAUGAAGACAUUACAGGCUUUAGCUGUUACCCCCCACUAAGGGCACCUCAGAGGACAGAUUCUUUGAUUUCCCCCAGUUAACAAAUGGUCUAUAUUUACCAGCUCACCCUUGCUGAGGAUGCCAGCUAUCAUUUCCUUUUGGUAUCCAGUCAAAUUAACCUGCUGUUGCAUCAGUCUCACAGUAACCUGACAGCAACAAGAGAUGGUCACAUAGUGCAAUGUAAAACAUUUAGGAAAGUCUGCCUUUUACCUGGGCUUUGGUCUUUGUGCUCCCUGCUAGGCUGCCCUGGUGCACUUGGAAGUCAUUGUUCCCGUUUUCACUCAGAAGCCACUGCUUUGGAAGCAUCACAUAAGGCAGUGAGCAAACCAAUGACUGAGGUGGGAAGGAAGCCUUUCACAAAAACAACCCAAAAAAAAUUCUAAAAAGAGGUAAGGAAGCUGAGAUUGAGAGAUGUUAAAAGUCACUAAAUUAAUCAAUGGGUGAAUCAGGAAUCAAAUUCAUCUUCCCAACUUCAAGUUCAAGACUCUAGUCUCUCCCUAGCUGCUUCCAAAUGUUGUCUCUUUCAUGUCGUUCCCUUUCAAUUUGCCCUCUUGUUUUUUGUGUACUUGAUGUUUCCAUGUUCUCUUAUCCAUUAAAAUGUAUACUCCCUAAAAGCAAA